AGCAAAAGCCUCAGUUUUCUUUAACGAUUUGGGAGUGUUUCUGUUGUGAUUUGCCAAUGUUUUGUUAAAUGUUCCAUUACGCUUCGUAUGAUUUGAGAUAAGGCUUGAUUGGAGCAACGAGUGCUUUUAUUGUUGUUAAAAUUGCCUAAAACAGAAGCUGUGCUAUUGAAUGGAAUUACUACAUCUCCACGUGAACAACUUUGUUUAGCCAGAGAAGCGAUAUUAGAAAUAAAAACUAAAACAUGUUGGUCCUUCGAACAGGAUGAAUGAAACUUCGAUGAUUUUUUUCCAACAAUUAGGAGUCAGCAUUUCGUUUUGACCAGUCGUUAAUCUUAACGAUCGGUUUUGUUUUAUGGUUCAGAAUAAAAAGGUAGAUAGGAAUUAAGUGGGAAUCUGGGAAAUAAUAUGACAUUGACGACAGUAUCAGUAGUAAAAUUUAGACGAUUUUACUAUUUUAUUAAUCCAAAUUGUUGCCAUAUCGAUUCCAAAAAAGAAUUUCUUGCGACUUAUAAUGGAAACAGCUCAAACGAAAGAUACUAUUAUUUGGUUGUUAUCAGGUCUGAGUCAAAAACUCUUAUGUCUAUCGAAAAUGUAAGUUGUUAUAACAUAACAUUUUAACAAAAAAUUUUCGUAAUUAGAGCUAUUAGAUAAUUCCAUAUUGAUGGAAUUAUACAUACCGAUUUAGCAAAUAAAAAAAUUAAAUUCUUACUCAACAAAAUAAUCCGUACAGGACCAGAUUUGAGUUCACUUUGGAAGUGAGUAAAUUCUGAUUGCUGUAAUCGAUUUUAAUUCUGUACGAAGUUUUAAAUAGUCAAUUUUUUUUCUGCCAGUCCUUGCCCUGGCAAAAAUUAAGUAAUUCAAAUAAAAUUCCGACAGGGUGGAAAAUGAAACAAUGCAAAAUUUUCCAAAGUUUGGCUUCCUCCCAGUUGCGCAAAAGAACAUUUUUUUGGACUUCAAGAGCAAAGGCAUAAAGGUAGAUUUCAUAUCUCGAAUCGGGUUUUCGCCCUUUUCGAUUAUUUACAGGGUGAUCCCAAAAAAAAUAGCAUUUUUUUUGGACAUACAUAUUGUUGUAGGUAAAACUUCAUAGUUAUCUUAAGACAAAAAUUCAAAUCAGAACUUCCCUCGAAAUCUAGGAUUCUGGCAAAUUUUUAGCUAAAGUGAAGUUCACUAUCGAACCAUCCGUUUAUUCAUGCAACUCUUUACAUGGACUUUUAGCUUAAGUCGACUAUUAAGUUUUAGCUUCAACAUGAGCUCUAGGUAGAUCCUGAAAAUCGGGCCAAGAGGAAAAAUAUGAUCAAUGCAAGCCCAAAAGUUGAUUUUUUGAUAUCACCCUGUAAAAAAAACCAAAUUCAAACACUGUCUUUGCCUCUCUCUAUCUUAAUAUCUCUUUCAUGGUAAAAACAGUUUUUUCUUUGUUCAAUCGGGAGCAUGCCAAACUGUAAAAAUGUUCAUUCUUUGGUUUUUCUCCGUGUAGAAACUCUAAAUUAUUAAAUUUUUUGCAAAUACCCGGAUGGACAGAAAAAGAACAGAACUAGACAAUGGAUUCUUCAAAAAGAAAUUAAAUCGCUGGUAGCAAUAGGAAUAUAUCCAGUUUCAAAUUUAGGGCAAAUUUGGCAAUGUAAUUUUUAUUGUGUUGAGCAGUUUACAUCAAGCAACAAAAAAAAAUUCAAAUGUAUUGUUGUAUUGUAUUAUUAUCUUAUUUCUAUUGCCUGAAUUCUCAUUUAGUUUUGAAUUUGUAAAAAAAAUUAUUGUCGAAUGUCGAUUUUUUUUUAUUACUUGCUUUUUUAGCACGAACCUGCGCAAGAUUAGAAAAUUGUCAUUUAGAUAAGGAUAUAAUGAAACACGAAUGCAAGAUGCAUAAUAACUACUUUCAGAGUAUUUAGUUUAAUGUAUUGAAAUUGCCUUCAAAUUAAGUGAUAUAAGUAGGUACUCAUUAAACUUAAUCGACAGUGCAUGAAAUUGAUAGUAAAGUAUGUACUGCUUUUGACUUUUGAAGUAUUCCUUUAAGCGAAAAUGUAUUUUCUAUUGUUCAUGGCCAGUUUUAAUUGGAAAUCACUUGAAUCUAUUUUCAAAAAUGUGUACUUUUUAUACAUAUAUUAACCCCAAACUAAUAAAUCUUAUCGAAUGAAUCAUG